GACGAACGCUGGCGGCGUGCUUAACACAUGCAAGUCGAACGGAGUUAAGGAGCUUGCUUCUUAACUUAGUGGCGAACGGGUGAGUAACGCGUGAGGAACCUGCCUUUCAGUGGGGGACAACAGUUGGAAACGACUGCUAAUACCGCAUGAUACUAUUGAGUGGCAUCACUUGAUAGUCAAAGAUUUAUUGCUGAAAGAUGGCCUCGCGUCUGAUUAGCUAGUUGGUGGGGUAACGGCCCACCAAGGCGACGAUCAGUAGCCGGACUGAGAGGUUGACCGGCCACAUUGGGACUGAGAUACGGCCCAGACUCCUACGGGAGGCAGCAGUGGGGAAUAUUGGGCAAUGGGCGAAAGCCUGACCCAGCAACGCCGCGUGAAGGAAGAAGGUUUUCGGAUUGUAAACCUCUUUCAGCAGGGAAGAAGAAAGUGACGGUACCUGCAGAAGAAGUCACGGCUAACUACGUG
rnacentral:rRNA from 1 species